rnacentral:rRNA from 1 species
CUGGCUCAGGAUGAACGCUGGCGGCGUGCUUAACACAUGCAAGUCGAACGAGGGUUGCUGGUUGAAGUUUCGGAUGGAAACCGGUAAUUCCUAGUGGCGGACGGGUGAGUAACGCGUGGGGAACCUGCCCCGCUCCGGGGGAUACCAGCUGGAAACGGCUGUUAAUACCGCAUAAGCGCACAGCAUCGCAUGAUGCCGUGUGAAAAAACUCCGGUGGAACGGGAUGGCCCCGCGUCUGAUUAGCCAGUUGGCAGGGUAACGGCCUACCAAAGCGACGAUCAGUAGCCGGCCUGAGAGGGCGACCGGCCACAUUGGGACUGAGACACGGCCCAAACUCCUACGGGAGGCAGCAGUGGGGAAUAUUGCACAAUGGGGGAAACCCUGAUGCAGCGAACCGCCGCGUGAGUGAGGAAGUAUUUCGGUAUGUAAAGCUCUAUCAGCAGGGAAGAAGAUGACGGUACCUGCACAAGAAGCCCCGGCUAACUACGUGCCAGCAGCUGC